rnacentral:rRNA from 1 species
AUUGAACGCUGGCGGCAGGCCUAACACAUGCAAGUCGAACGCGUGGCGGACGGGUGAGUAAUGCUUGGGCCUCUAGCUUAUGGAGGGGGAUAACUACGGGAAACUGUAGCUAAUACCGCGUACCAUAGGAUGAGCCGAAGUGGGAUUAGGUAGUUGGUGAGGUAAAGGCUCACCAAGCCGACGAUCUCUAGCUGGUCUGAGAGGAUGACCUGCCACACUGGGACUGAGACACGGCCCAGACUCCUACGGGAGGCAGCAGUGGGGAAUAUUGGGCAAUGGGGGAAAGCUGAUGCAGCCAUGCCGCGUGAAUGAAGAAGGCCUUCGGGUUGUAAAGUUCUUUCGGUAGCGAGGCGUUAACUACAGAAGAAGCACCGGCUAACUCCGUGCCAGCAGCCGCGGUAAUAC